rnacentral:rRNA from 1 species
UACCAGCACCCCGAGUGGUCGGGACGAUUAUUGGGCCCAAAGCAUCCGUAGCCGGCCUUACAAGUCCUCCGUUAAAUCCAGCUGCUUAACAGAUGGGCUGCGGAGGAUACUAUAAGACUAGGAGGCAGGAGAGGCAAGCGGUACUCAGUGGGUAGGGGUAAAAUCCGUUGAAUCCGAUUGAAGACCACCAGUGGCGAAGGCGGCUUGCCAGAAUGCGCUCGACGGUGAGGGAUGGAAAGCUGGGGGAGCAACC